rnacentral:rRNA from 1 species
GUGUCAGCAGCCGCGGUAAGACAGAGGGUGCAAACGUUGCUCGGAAUUACUGGGCGUAAAGCGCGUGUAGGCUGACCGUAAAGUCAGGUGUGAAAUCCCUGGGCUCAACCCAGGAACUGCACUUGAAACUCACGGUCUAGAGUGGUGGAGAGGGAAGUGGAAUUCCUGGUGUAGAGGUGAAAUUCGUAGAUAUCAGGAGGAACACCAGUGGCGAAGGCGGCUUCCUGGACACCAACUGACGCUGAGACGCGAAAGCGUGGGGAGCAAACAGGAUUAGAAACCCUGGUAGUCC